rnacentral:rRNA from 1 species
UACCGCUAUUGGAGUUCGAUUAAGCCUGCGAGUCGCGAGAAAUUAGAUUCUCGGCGUACCGCUCAGUAACACGUGGGUAACCUGCCCUAUGCUGGAUAAUAACCUCGGGAAACUGAGUAUAAUGAUCCAUAGUUCACUACGCCUGGAACGGUGAGUGGAUGAAAGCUCCGGCGGCAUAGGAUGGGCCUGCGGCGUAUCAGGUAGUAGGGGGUGUAACGUACCCUCUAGCCCUCUACGCGUACGGGUGUUGGGAGACAUAGCCCGGAGAUGGAUUCUGAGACACGAAUCCAGACCCUACGGGGUGCAGCAGGCGCGAAAACUUGGCAAUGCGAGAAAUCGUGACCAGGGAACUCCAAGUGCAUCGGGUAAGACCGGUGCUUUUCUUGACUCUAAAUAGGUCUUGGAAUAAGGGGUGGGUAAGGACGGUGCCAGCCGCCGCGGUAAUACCGGCGCCUCAAGUGGUAGUCGCUUUUAUUGGGCCUAAAACGUCCGUAGCCGGUCUGAUACAUUCGUGGGUAAAUCAACCAGCUCAACUGGUUGAAUUCUGCGAGGACGGUCAGACUUGGGACCGGGAGAGGUGUGGGGUACGCUCAGGGUAGGGGUAAAAUCCUGUCAUCCUGAGCGGACCACCUGUUGCGAAGGCGCCACACUAGGAACGGAUCCGACGGUCAGGGACGAAGCCUAGGGGCACGAACCGGGAUUAGAUACCC